rnacentral:rRNA from 1 species
UGGUGACUAUAGCAAGGAGGUCACACCUGUUCCCAUGCCGAACACAGAAGUUAAGCUCCUUAGCGUCGAUGGUAGUCGAAUCUAAAACGUCAAAAUA